rnacentral:piRNA from 1 species
UGUCACAGAGUAAUUCAUUGCCAGGCGG